rnacentral:lncRNA from 1 species
GUCCCCACAGGAGCAGCCACGUGGGCACCUCCUCGCAGAGCCCCUGCCCGGGAACCGAGGCCCAGCAGAGUCUGGAAGGGCCGCGAGGAGCCAGGGGGGGGGGGGGGGGGGGCUGCGGGGGUCAAGUCCGACCAGUGGGGUUGCCGUGCAGGGCAAUGAGGAGGCUUUCAGCACAUGCUCCCCUGGGGCCCAGGGGGACAAUCCCAGCACCCAGGCCACACGCAAGUUCCUGAAGGAACCAGGGAGCCAGUACUCGAAGAUUCAAGAAGGAUCAUUUAACUGUCUUCAAUCUUUGCCAAUUUACUUCCUGUUGCGAAAACAGAUGAGAAAAAUGAAACAGACCACACCUGCAUAUCCCAGAAAUAAGAUCACCGGAUGGUUCUCCUGUGGAGAACUUCUCGUCCUCUAGCAGAUACAGCUUUCCAGCCCUUGCCUGGAUGGGCCCCCAACACGCUCUUUCUCUCGUGGAAACCGCUCCUCUCCGUUCACUGCCUUUAUCACAGUCUGUGGGGUCGCCCAUGAAUUUGUUUGCUCCUUGUUUCUCUUUGGUCUCCGCCUCCGGUGUGGCCUCCCCGUGGGAGCAAGGACGAUGACUUUGACU